GAUGGUCUGUUAGGUUCCAUUUUGUGUCCGCAUCAGCAAGUUGGCUGCAGGACUGGAUCUGGUCCAGAACUUGAGCUCCCUACGGCAAAGGGGACUUGGGAAGGUCAGUUUCCAAUGCUCUCUACGGCAAAGGUGAUGGUUCUGAUGAGAUGAAUGGAACGGUUGAGGUUUGAUUUCUGUUUGUGGUUAUCUUUAUUCGUUAUGACUCGGAGCUUAUUUGAUAUGGUUGGAACUUGUGAGCUGCUGGAUUGGAUUGCCGAUCAUGGGGUGGAACUAGAGAAGUUACAUACAUAUUGUGUUGGGAUAAUCGGUCCUUCUGAAUUUAAUUUCUUUCUCAAUUCAGUGUACACCAAUUCCAAUUCUGAAAUGGAUUGUUGGUUCUCCAGAUAUUGGACUUGCACAACUUAGCGAAGGUGCCCUAUUUUGCUUCAUCAUGUUAUCGGUGGUUCCUUUUUGUGACUUGAAUAAUCUUUAGCGACUUCCUUUGAUAAUUAACUUCCUAGUUAUGGCUUUCUCCCUUCAUCCGUAAUUAUGUGCUCUUGCAGAUAUGGAAACGGAGGAUAUCAUUCUGGAUCCAAGGGCUGUUGUCUAUCUCUCAGUCGAGCAAGCUAAUCCUAUCCCCUCAAUCAAUGCAUGAACAACAAAUCUACAAUUGAUUUGCAGAGGUACAGUGAUUCUGUGGAUGCUUUGGAGCUUCAGUUAGAUGGCGCAUCUUACAAGAGAAACUCAGUGCUCUCUAUUUACAUCUGUUGAACUCUUGUUUUGAUCAAACACAUGUUUUGUCUCAGUUGCUUCUUGCUUUGAUUGGGGGUUUCGCUUCCUCCUCCUCUGAGUUUGCAGAAUGUGCUGAUGGUCACUCAGAAUCUGCAAUAUUGUUCGGUUUGCAAUAUAUCUCACUGUGGUUGAGUUUCUUAUCUGUACGCUUCAUCCCUGUGCUUUUGCUGCUGAACGUGUCAUUUGCAGUAUAUGUUUUGGAUUGUUGGGACAUGUUGUGGUUAAACCCCCAUGCAUCUGGAGUCAGCUCAGUGUAUUAGAUGGUCUGUUUGUUUUAUUGGUUAGGCUCACCCCAUCAGCUUCAGUGAUUUUAUAGAUUUGAAUUGCUCUCUGCAAAAUUUGCUUUAUUUCACUCUCCGAUGGCAAUCAUUGUAAUUGAAUGUGUGUUUUGGAACCCUGGAUUGGUUUGCACUGAUAGAUUUGAUAGAUUUGACAUGAUCUAGCUAUAAGACUGAUGGUGGAGAUUGGAUUGAAGGCUAGAGGUUUGGUUAUAAGUUAAUGCUCAUUCUUUAGAUCAUGUCAUAAUUUUAUGAUGUUAAUUUGUUUGGUUUUGGGUCAACCCUAAUCGGAAUUGUGGGUCAGACCUGCAUAGUUGAGGAUUUGAAGGUGUCAUGAAGCUUGACUGGACUGUAGAUCACAGAACUGGAAGAAGUCUGCAAUGUUUUGUUCGAAUAUUUUCUUCCUUUGAAGUUCCUUCUUUAAUACAGAUUGCUCUUCUGUUUGAUUUCAUCCUGAAGCGCAUUUGUACGGUAAAUGAUUACAGGGUAUUGCAGAUGUUGAUCUGAUAUGCAUUGUGGAUGGAACGGUAGGCCCAACAGUUGCCUCACACUUUAUGCCAUUUAUUCCAAUUGAGAGUUCAUACAUUUGACUUCUGAAGUAUCGGGUUAUAUAUUUGGGCUUCUCAUUGAUUUGCAGUGUUGGAGAUUCUUAGUGCAAGGAGAGUUGGAAGGUCUAGCAAAUCAUUGGUUAACCGGGGUCUUUUGUGAAGCUUCAAGCCAUCAACUGUGUUUGCUUUCCCAACUGUUCUGACUUACCAAAAAAAUCUUGAAGCAUAGUAUUCCUUGAUUUGGUCGUUUGCGGAAGCUUACAGUUUCAACUUUCAACUUGCAUUCAGUGGCCCAUCUAUUCGGUACAGCUUGCAGUCUUUAAUCGCGUGCACAUCUGGAUCUUCUGAUUAGUGAUCUUGAAGCUUAUUAUUGAACUCUGUUGUGUUCCAACUUUGUUUGGAUGGAGAGGUCACUUAGAAGUCUUCAUUACUUUGUUACAUGUUUGUUUCUGGAAUUUGGGUUUCAUGCCAAUAUGUUUAAGUUUUAUCAAUGCACUCAGAUGUGUUUUGUUUCUCUAGCAGUAGGUCGCAGAUUUAUGACCUGAUAGGAAAUAGAAGAUUGCAUGUACAUGAGGCUCCGAAGGCAGUACAAGAUCCUUACAGUUUUAUAUACUUGAAUUAUUUUGAGAUCA